rnacentral:rRNA from 1 species
GACGAACGCUGGCGGCGCGCCUAACACAUGCAAGUCGAACGAGCGAGAGAGCUUGCUUUCGCAAGCGAGUGGCGAACGGGUGAGUAACGCGUGAGGAACCUGCCUCAAAGAGGGGGACAACAGUUAGAAAUAGCUGCUAAUACCGCAUAAGCGCACAGCUCCGCAUGGAGCAGUGUGAAAAACUCCGGUGGUGUGAGAUGGACCCGCGUCUGAUUAGCCAGUUGGCGGGGUAACGGCCCACCAAAGCGACGAUCAGUAGCCGGCCUGAGAGGGUGAACGGCCACAUUGGGACUGAGACACGGCCCAA